GCCUUUUGGUGUGAUGUUACUUUGUAUGGGUUGAAGCCUUCUGGUGUUAUAUGGUGGUACUCUGUGUAUCGUGGCCAUCUUGACUGUGGCAUGUGCUGUGGCAUAUGCUGCAACAGAUGAGGCUAUUUGACCAUCUCUCUUAUUAGUGAGUUGGGCCUGUUCAGUCUUGAGAAGGCAAGACUGAACAAUGGUCUUUUCAAUGUAUGCAAGUAUCUGAAGCAAGGAUCCAAGGGGUUGGAGCCAGGCUCUUCUUGGCAUGCUGAGCUAUUGACUAGAGGAAAAGGGAAGAAAUUGGAACACAGAAAGUUCUACAUGAGGAUGAACCUCUUUACUGUGAGGAUGUCAGAGAACUGGAAGAGACUGCUCAGAGAGGUGGAUUCUGCUUCUUGGGAGACAUUCAAAAGGUGGCUGGACACAACCCUGACUAUUGUGCUCCAGGGGACACUACUUGACAAGUCAUCACCCUGAGAGAAGUCACCUGUGUUUGAAAUUAAUAUCCAUGCUGGUGCAAGACACUUGUCUCUGACUAUCUACUGGAUACCAUGUCGUACCACAAUGGACAGUGUCACUGUGUACCUGAAAUAGGUGUAUGUGUUGGAACAGGCUAGAGUGUGCAAAUGUGCUAUAUACCUUCAGUGUAUUGAAGAGUGGUUGAAGAUUAUGGAGGUGAAAAGAGUCAAAUGUGUUGUAGGAACCUACUGUCAUUUCAGAUGAGUCUUUCUUUGAUCUCCAUUUUCAGUUCUGGUCUUGUCUUGAAGCUUAACAGAUAAACAAGACAAAAAUCACACAAGAGAAAAAUCUAGAGAUUGAGCAGUAUCAGUGUUGUGGUUUAAAUCGAGCUGGAAAUCAAGCUCUAUGCAGCCAUUCCCCUUCCCCUACCCGAGCUGAGAUAAGGAAAAAAAUACUGGGAAGAGCAAUGUGAUAAGAAAACAGUAAGAGCAACCAUAGUAUUAACAAAUGUGUACAAAAUCAGAAUUAUUCCAUGCAAAAUGUUCCAGAGUCCAACUGACCCAGUCUGAGCUGGUGCCAUGUGGCUCCUGAGACAAAGCAGAAAAUGGCAGACAAACCCAUCUGCAUGCACAUUUUCCCACAGCCCUAAGGCCAAGAAAGAAGCCAACCAUGUUGGAGAAAUAGUUUGCACCCAUGCUUCUUCCCCAAGACUGAGACAACAAAAAUAAAAAAGAAACAGACAAACCCCACCAUUUACUCCCCUGGAAAGAAGGAAGAAAUACCGUGGUAGAGCAUCUGUGCAUCCCCUUUUUCUUCCACUUGAAGCCAGGGGCCCCUCUUCAUGGAAGUGAGAAUCCCUUAUUUGUGCUCCUGCAGUGAUGAUGUGGUUGGUAUAGAAUAAGAACCUGGACAUAUCCCCAUGGCUCCGUGCUCCUAACAUCCUUGGUCAAAACUAGGACAAUCAGCAGUCACUGGUCUGUUGAGGGGUGUUCUGAGAGACUCAAAAGUACCUAACAACCAGUCUUAAAGAGCAUGUGAUAUUGCGGAGUUACUUUCAGUUCGGUACAUGGUGAUAUGCUUCAUGCCACUGGCUAUGCCUGUAAGAUAAACAAAAGUUAAAAAAUUAUUUCAGAUCCUUCAACCAGUUUGUAUCCAGGAUGCAGAGAGCUAACUCCUUCUACAGCAUGCUGACUAUGAGUUGUCUCUUCCUUAGGAGAGCAUCUAUCCCCGUCCGAAGUUUCUGUCAUUUAGUCACCACUUUGUGAGAAGUUUUUUUCUUUUGACAGUGAAAUUCAAUGAAGAAUGUAUUGCAUGCAAGAAAAUGUUUGUUAGCUGUAACUAUUCUGCUUUAAAUUUUUAUCCCACCUAAUUGUUCAAUAGGUCUGCCAGAUACCAGCUGCAUAAUUUAAGGGAUUCUGGCAGAAUGAAGACUUCAUUUCCUGCAGGAAUGCCAUGAAUUCUAGACUAUCUGCUAGUUAGAUUUUGUUGUGAAUUUUUAAAAUGCCAUAUAAUAUUUCUAGGUACAAUUUUAUUGCCAGUCUUUAUUUUCUUCAUUCAGAUUAUUGGUUUAUUAUAUUAAUUUCUUACUUUGAGAGGUUUUUUGUAUCAUGGUCUAUUCUUUCCUUGAAAGCUGCUAAAUUAUAUUCAACAAGCAAAGUUAGAUAUAAUAAAUAAGCAAUAUUGUGUGAAAAAAGGAAAUCUAAUAGUUGGGGGGUUGUUUGUUUGUUUUCUUUUUUUUUUUUUCCUUCUUCAGUUUCUUUUUUUAAUCUUGGCCACAGCAUGAAAAAUUUAAUUUAGGAAAUUGCGCAUAAAGACAUCACAUUCUCUGAUGCACCAAAUGGUCUAAAAGGCCAGUCCUAUAAGUCUUUAGAUUUUUGCUAGUGUACAAGUCUGCCAAAUAUCCUACCUAUUUAAUAUAUUUCAAACUUUUCAGAUGUAGAAUGGUGAUAUGAGUUUGAAUCUGAAAACAUUAAUUAAUGGGGCUGCAAAAUAUAUAUAUUCUGACUUGUUUCAAAGAUCCACUCAGCCUGUGUGUCUGUCUUGGCUGUAUUAGAGAAACUGGAACUAGAUUAAUGCUGACAUAGCUGUGAUAAAUCAGUUAGCUCCAUUGCUAAGAUAAAUUGACAGUGUUGUAAAUAGCCUUUACAAAUUCUACAUACCCUCCAGACUUUAUUGAAUAAAUCAAACUUCAGUAAAAAUAUGUGUGCUUACUCUUUGAUUGCUGACUAUAAAAUUGAAUUUUUUUUAUCUGGUUCAGAGAAUGUCUUUAAAACAAAAAACUGUAUAGUUUUACUUUUUAUUUAUUUGUUUGUUUGUUUAUUUUGAGUCUUACAACUUGAAAGUAAAUUAUAUAGACUUGUCAAUACUGUGCUUUGGGCACAGUAUUGUGCAAAUAUUGCAAAGGUUGACUGUAAGCACAAGUUCUGAAAAAUGUUAUUCAAGCAACAUUAGAGGGUUGCUUAUUAGGAGAGAAUAGGAAAAAAAUUACCUAGACAGUAGGGGUUUUUUUCCCUCUAAAAGUAUUUUGUUUUUAUAUGGGAAGGGAAAUGUUUGUGGACACACAACUUAGCAAUAGGAAUAAAAAUUAUGAUUUGAAAAGUU